rnacentral:rRNA from 1 species
GCUCGUAGUCGGAUUUCGGGCACUAGUGAACGGUACGCCUCUGGGUGGACACUAGUUGUCUGACUUUCUGCUUGGGAUGCCCUGUGAUGCCCUUCUGUGGGGGUGGGUCGCAGGCCGUUUACUUUGUUUAAAUUAAAGUGAGCGCUGCAGGCUGGUGCUUGACCUGAUUAACGUGGAAUGAUGGAAUAGGACCUUGCCGCUAUUCCAUUGGGUUGGGUACUGGGAUAAUGAUUAAUAUGAACAGUUGGGGCCGAUCGUAUUUUUCUGUUUGAGGUGAAAUUCUUGAAUUUCUUGGAUAUGAACUUGAGCAAAAACUGUCAAAAAGGAUGUUUUCAUUGAUCUCAAUCAAAAGUAACGGGAUCUAAAAGUAUCAAAACCAUUCGAUACCUUCCCCAUAAACUAUGCCAACUAGGGAUCAUUGAGUGUCAAUGUAGUACCUCAUUGGCACCUUGUGAGAAAUUCCAGUAAAUGGGUUCCGGGGGGAGUAUGGUCAAGAGGCUGAAACUUAAAGGAAUUGACGGAAUGGAACCAAAGGGCACCGCAGCCUGCGGAUCCUUUUGACUUAAUUUGACUCAAACUUACCAAAUCUCACACGGCCCCAGACACUGACAGAUUGAAAGCUCUUUCUUGUCUUUCUGGGUGGUGGGGCAUGGCCGUUCUGACCUGGCUUAGUGAUUUGACUGGUUAAUUCCGUUAAUUAACAUAACCUCCGACUGUCUACUCUGCAUGCCCAUUUUUCAUGGUUAGCCCGCUUCUUACAUCGACUAUUCACGUUCAACGAAUGGCUACUCGAGGUUGAGCCAUGUCUGGGAUGUGAUGACAUGAUAUGUGCCGCGCGCCCCGCUACACUGAUGUGUACGGCUAGCUCUGCCCUUGCUGCUCAGACCCGAGU